GUGUUGUAUGAAAGAAGAGAAGGCUAGCAGUCCCCUUGACAAGGAUGGAAGAGGCCCCUGUGUUCUUCAACACAUAUAUGGUUAAGGCAUUGCCACCUACUUUGUGGCAUCUCUAACCAAGUAUUUUU